GAUGAAGAACGCAGCGAAAUGCGAUACGUAAUGUGAAUUGCAGAAUUCAGUGAAUCAUUGAAUCUUUGAACGCACAUUGCGCCUGCCAGCACUCUGGCAGGCAUGCCUGUUCGAGCGUCAUUUCAACCAUCAAGCCCUAGGCUUGCGUUGGAGCCCUGCGGCUGCCGCAGGCCCCUAAAAGCAGUGGCGGGCUCGCUAUCACACCGAGUGCAGUAGAUUACUCUUCGCUCAGGGCGUGUGGCGGGUUCCAGCCGUGAAACCCCCUACUUCUCAAGGUUGACCUCGGAUCAGGUAGGAAUACCCGCUGAACUUAAGCAUAUCAAUAAGCGGAGGA
rnacentral:misc_RNA from 1 species